rnacentral:rRNA from 1 species
GAUGAACGCUGGCGGCGUGCCUAAUACAUGCAAGUCGAGCGAAGCGGGGACGGGUGAGUAACACGUGGAUAACCUCCUAUAAGACUGGGAUAACUUCGGGAAACCGGAGCUAAACCGGAUAAUUAUAGAUGGAUCCGCGGUGAAUUAGCGAGUUGGUAAGGUAACGGCUUACCAAGGCAACGACGCAUAGCCGACCUGAGAGGGUGUGCGGCCACCCUGGACCGUGGCAACGGUCCAGACUCCUACGGAAGGCAGCAGUAGGGAAUCUUCCGCAAUGGGCGAAAGCCUGACGGAGCAACGCCGCGUGAGUGAUGAAGGUCUUCGGAUCGUAAAACUCUGUUAUUAGGGAAGCGGUACCUAAUCAGAAAGCCACGGCUAACUACGUGCCAGCCGCCGCGGUAAUUC